CUAGAUCCAAGCCCCUGCCACGGACAGGGUUGCCAACCACUAAAUCAGUCACUAGAUCUGGUUGCCCAGGGCCUCAUCCAACCAAGUAUGCUGGCUGCAUUUCACCACUUCAUUGACUGUGUGGGAGCCAUAUCCUCUUUGACAGUUCCGCAGCAAGUGAGCCACAGGUCUGUGGUCUCUCUUUAAACAAUUCCCACCCCAG
rnacentral:lncRNA from 1 species